rnacentral:lncRNA from 1 species
CCCACUAUUAAUAUGGAUGGAUCAAGCCACUUUCCAUCUUUUUGUAAUAAAUACUAAAUUAUAGGAUAAACACAAACUUCGAAUGAAAUAAGCACAAAUUUAUCUAAAAUAAACAAAAAUAAGUUUAGAAUAAAUCAAAAUAAAAUAAAUAAAAAUACUUUAAAAUAAAUACAAACUCAACAAAAUAAAUAGAAAUAUCCCAGAAUAAAUACAAACUCAAUCUCAUCCCCUCCCGUCUGCAUGUAUAGCCUAUUUUUUAUAUUUUUUUGUCCAAUCUGCAUUAAAGGCUUGGUUUUUUAUAUAUUUUAACCUUGAGUGGAUGAAAAAAAAUUGUUAAUUUUUUAUUUUGCUGCAUAGAGAUCUGUGUGGAUUAAGAGAUCAGAUGAUAGAAAACUCAACCCGAUUUAGCUUCAAAUCUGAUUGACCUUUUCCUAAGCUACCUCUACAUACACGUAUACAUGCAUACAUACAUACAUAUAUACUCCCUCCCCCAGCCUCCAUAUUGCAUGCAUCAGGUGCAAUUAGAUCGUGUCAAAUCCCAUGGUUGACGACACGCCAUGCUAUCUCUUGUAUUUCAUCAAUUUUCGAUUGCAUGCUAUCCACUAUGCAUAUGCUUCGGGAUUUACCCUAAUUCACUUGCAUCUGAUGCAUGCAAUAUUUUCCCCAACACACACAGACGCAGACGUAUAUAUGGAUGCAUGUAUUCAUGCAUGUCAUAUUUACUGAGGAAAAUAAAAUAAGCUGUUACAGUAUAUUCAAUCUUUGUAAAAACUUAAGCAACCCCACUUGCCCUUAGAGAUAUACAUAGUCUAAUUUGAUCUAGUUUGAAGAUAUUUUUAAAUCAAAUCAGUAAAUUAAGAUUUAUCAAUUUUAUAAAUUUAAUUAGACCAUUUUGCUAUUCAAAUCAGGUCAGAUUAGACUAGUGAAUUACAAUUUGGUCUAGUUUGAUUAACGAUUUAAUAUAUUAUAACAUAAAAGAUGAAAAAUUUUAACAAACAAACAUAUUCUCAUCAGACAAAAAUUAAAAUUAUCAAGAUAUUC